rnacentral:rRNA from 1 species
UACAGAGGUCUCAAGCGUUGUUCGGAUUCAUUGGGCGUAAAGGGUGCGUAGGUGGCGAGGCAAGUCAGAUGUGAAAUCCCGGGGCUCAACCCCCGGAACUGCAUUUGAAACUGCCUUGCUCGAGUACUGGAGAGGAGACUGGAAUUUACGGUGUAGCAGUGAAAUGCGUAGAUAUCGUAAGGAAGACCAGUGGCGAAGGCGAGUCUCUGGACAGUUCCUGACACUGAGGCACGAAGGCCAGGGGAGCAAACGGG